CAGAUGUAGAACUGAAAAUUUAUCACAGAAUUUGAUCCAUCCUGCAAGGCUCGGAUUUAAAAAUGUGAGUUAUUUAACAUCUCCCUCUGAGUAGAUUGGGAGAGAUCAGCCUUUAUCCACGGACUCAUCCACUUGUGGUUCUAAACUAAGCAGACUAGAGAUGGAAGAUGGAGCCAGGUUACGGAAAACGGCUCGCUGGAGGUGUGCUCUUGUUCUAUCAUCUUCCUGCUGAAUUAUUCAACUCUCAUCGGCCACGAAGUGAGCUGCUUUGCUGCUUUGCUCCCUGCUUUAAUGUUCAGCCUUACCGCUGGCCAGAGCCCAUGGAGCCAAGGACCGUGGACUGAAAACCCUGAAACUAUAAGUGGAAAGGAAACUUCUUCUCUAGUUUCCAGGAAAGGUAACUGGAAAGAUUGGGAAGCAGAAUGUGAAGAUGUCAUGAAGAUGUGAAAGAAAUACAGCCGAGUCUCAAAGGGCUGAUUAACAUUCUGCAGUGGACCCAGAUAUAAAUUGAUUUGGCUACAGCCUUUUUUUUUUUUUGACAAAGAUGACAAAAAUAUAAAUCAGUUCUGAGUAAACUGGAUAUCAAAAUCAAAAGAAUGAAGCUGGUCUUCUCUUUUUAACCUUGUACAAAACUCAACUGCAAAGAUACUGAAGACCCCCAUGUAAGACCCAGUACUCUAAAACCAUCAGAGAUGAAAAUAGCGCUGAACUUUAACAUGUAAAGAUAGGCGAUGCCUUUCAGAAGACUUCAGCAGCACAGGAAAGAAGACCGUCAACUGACAAAUAGAAUCUCAGAGAAUUGCAAAGAUUCUGCAUGGAAAUGAA
rnacentral:lncRNA from 1 species